CUUCGUGGUCGAUACGUUUUAAUCUGAAGAGAUGUUAUCACAACCUUUACCGCAACUGGAUCCCAGGCUCCAUCCUUGUUUUAGACACAGUCGGGCCUCCGUACCCCUUCCGAACUGCAGCCCCCUAACCUGAGGCUGAUUGUGAGGACACUCGUCCAAUCGAGUUUUGCACCUAGGAACUUCCGGGGAUGACGUCAUUACGCAGCCACACGGCGUCACAAUUCAAGAGGCAUGUGAUCGAGCGCCGCUUGCGGGAAGCCCCAGUGGCCUAAUGGAUAAGGCACUGGCCUCCUAAGCCAGGGAUUGUGGGUUCGAGUCCCAUCUGGGGUGAGGUGGUUUACGUGUGGAGAUCUUUUUCCUUAUCAAGCCCGACUGCACUUCGGAAGAUAAACCCAUGUGAGGACAAACGCGGCCCCACUGCUUGUUGCCCCAGCCGGUGUCCAAACACCCCUCGCUAAAGCGCUGCGAAAGCCUCACGUCCACGCACGAGAGAAGCGCGCGUGUUCUCUGUGCGUCCGUCACCGGGAAGUUGAAAGCGGCCACCGGCAGCCCCUGCCCCUCAGCCUCGCGGUGCGCUCUGGCCCGUGGAACCGGCCCCCACCGCCCCCGCCCCCCCCCAAGACGAGGAGGCGUGCACGGAAGCUCGCGUGUGCACGCGCGGCCGGCGGGGACACACCAGGGCCAGCCUCUGGGGUCCGCCCAGGCCCGCAGGAAAAAGGUGGCUCAGGAGUGUUUCUAAAGGGACUGUCGGAGGGACGUUUAUGAUUUCCCUACUUUCCUAUGUACAUAAUCCUUUAGUAAGAGGCUCAAUUAAAAUAUAUAUAUAUAUA